rnacentral:piRNA from 1 species
UCAAAUGUAGCUUUUGAACUU